AAACUUUUGUGAGAUAAGAUAUAAAACAGUUCUCUCACUGACUGUAUAGAAAGAGAAGGUACAGUAAAUGCUCCCCAUAUACACCUCAAACCAGGCCCUUUGCCUAGUCUGUAUUGUGAAUGGGGGGAUAAAA